rnacentral:rRNA from 1 species
UACGAAGGGAGCUAGCGUUGUUCGGAAUCACUGGGCGUAAAGCGCACGUAGGCGGAUGUGUCAGUCAGGGGUGAAAUCCCGGAGCUCAACUUCGGAACUGCCUCUGAUACAGCACGUCUUGAGUCCGAUAGAGGUGGGUGGAAUUCCUAGUGUAGAGGUGAAAUUCGUAGAUAUUCGGAGGAACACCAUUGGCGAAGGCGGCUCACUGGUCCAUUACUGACGCUGAGGUGCGAAAGCGUGGGGAGCAAACAGG